UGCUCCAAGUUUUCCUCCUUUAACUAACAGUGUGUUGGCAAAUUGGGAAGUGUUCUGUGGAGAGGCAAGGGCCUGCGGCAGAGUGGAAAUCUGAGAGGAAAUGGAGCCUCAAAACACAGGCCUCGUUCAAACUCCUCCUCACGUGUGGCUGUCUCUGGAUUUCUGGUACUGUUAGAU